rnacentral:rRNA from 1 species
AGUGAACGCUGGCGGUAUGCUUAACACAUGCAAGUCGAACGGUAGCACAGUAAUUGCUUGCUCUUAUGGGUGCCGACUGGUGGAUGGGUGAUGAAUACAUUGCACUUUACUUUUUCGUGGGGGAUAACGAAUGGAUAUUUACGCUAAUACCGCAUACGACCUACGGGUGAAAGUUGGGGAUCUUCAUCCCUUGUGCGUUUGAUUGCGCCGUUGUCGCUUUGUCAGGUUGGCGGGGUAAAGGCCACCAAGGCCGAGUACCGUUGCUGGACUGAGAGGAUGAUCGGCCACACUGGAACUGGGACACGGUCCAGACUCCUACGAGAGGCAGCAGUGGGGAAUAUUGGACAGUGGGCGCAAGCAUGAUACAGCCAUAGCGCGUGGGUGAAGAAGGCGUUCGGGUUGUAAAGACCUUUUGUUGGGAAAGAAAAGCAGCAGGUUAAUAAGAAGCUGUUCUGACGGUACCCAAAGAAUAAGCACCGGCUAACUUCGUG